CCUGAACCAGCCAAGUAGCGUGCGGGAUGAAGGCCCUCUGGUCGUAAACCGCUUUUAUCAGUGAAUAAAGUGCACCACGUGUGGUGUCAUUGCAGGUAGCUGAAGAAAAAGGACCGGCUAAUUCCGUGCCAGCAGCCGCGGUAAUACGGAAGGUCCGGGCGUUAUCCGGAAUUAUUGGGUUUAAAGGGAGCGCAGGCGGGAGUAUAAGUCAGCUGUUAAAUAUCAGGGCCCAACUCUGUUAUGCAGUUGAAACUAUAUUUCUUGAGUACGCACAGGGAUGGCGGAAUUCAGGGUGUAGCGGUGAAAUGCUUAGAUAUCCUGAAGAACUCCGAUCGCGAAGGCAGCCAUCCGGAGCGUAACUGACGCUGAGGCUCGAAGGUGCGGGUAUCGAACAGGAUUAGAUACCCUGGUAGUCCGCACGGUAAACGAUGAAUACUCGCAGUUCGGCCGUUUAGGUCGAGUUGUCCAGCGAAAGCGUUAAGUAUUCCACCUGGGGAGUACGCCGGCAACGGUGAAACUCAAAGGAAUUGACGGGGGCCCGCACAAGCGGAGGAACAUGUGGUUUAAUUCGAUGAUACGCGAGGAACCUUACC
rnacentral:rRNA from 1 species